AUUGAACGCUGGCGGCAGGCCUAACACAUGCAAGUCGAAUGGUAACAGGAAACAGCUUGCUGUUUCGCUGACGAGUGGCGGACGGGUGAGUAAUGUCUGGGAAACUGCCUGAUGGAGGGGGAUAACUACUGGAAACGGUAGCUAAUACCGCAUAACGUCGCAAGACCAAAGAGGGGGACCUUCGGGCCUCUUGCCAUCAGAUGUGCCCAGAUGGGAUUAGCUAGUAGGUGGGGUAACGGCUCACCUAGGCGACGAUCCCUAGCUGGUCUGAGAGGAUGACCAGACACACUGGAACUGAGACACGGUCCAGACUCCUACGGGAGGCAGCAGUGGGGAAUAUUGCACAAUGGGCGCAAGCCUGAUGCAGCCAUGCCGCGUGUAUGAAGAAGGCCUUCGGGUUGUAAAGUACUUUCAGCGGGGAGGAAGGGAGUAAAGUUAAUACCUUUGCUCAUUGACGUUACCCGCAGAAGAAGCACCGGCUAACUCCGUG
rnacentral:rRNA from 1 species